AUUGAACGCUGGCGGCAUGCCUUACACAUGCAAGUCGAACGGCAGCACGGGUGCUUGCACCUGGUGGCGAGUGGCGAACGGGUGAGUAAUACAUCGGAACAUGUCCUGUAGUGGGGGAUAGCCCGGCGAAAGCCGGAUUAAUACCGCAUACGAUCUACGGAUGAAAGCGGGGGACCUUCGGGCCUCGCGCUAUAGGGUUGGCCGAUGGCUGAUUAGCUAGUUGGUGGGGUAAAGGCCUACCAAGGCGACGAUCAGUAGCUGGUCUGAGAGGACGAGCAGCCACACUGGGACUGAGACACGGCCCAGGCUCCUACGGGAGGCAGCAGUGGGGAAUUUUGGACAAUGGGCGAAAGCCUGAUCCAGCAAUGCCGCGUGUGUGAAGAAGGCCUUCGGGUUGUAAAGCACUUUUGUCCGGAAAGAAAUCCUUGGCCCUAAUACGGUCGGGGGAUGACGGUACCGGAAGAAUAAGCACCGGCUAACUACGUG
rnacentral:rRNA from 1 species